UGGGGGAUAUUGCACAAUGGGCGAAAGCCUGAUGCAGCGACGCCGCGUGGGGGAUGAAGGCCUUCGGGUUGUAAACUUCUUUUGCUCUGAACAAGGCAUGAUAAUGGGUGUGUUGAGUGUAGGGGUUGAUUAGCGCCGGCUAACUACGUGCCAGCAGCCGCGGUAAUACGUAGGGCGCGAGCGUUGUCCGGAAUUAUUGGGCGUAAAGGGCUUGUAGGUGGCUGGUUGCGUCUGUCGUGAAAGCUCAUGGCUUAACUGUGGGUUUGCGGUGGGUACGGGCUGGCUUGAGUGCAGUAGGGGAGGCUGGAAUUCCUGGUGUAGCGGUGGAAUGCGCAGAUAUCAGGAGGAAUACCGGUGGCGAAGGCGGGUCUCUGGGCUGUUACUGACACUGAGGAGCGAAAGCAUGGGGAGCGAACAGG
rnacentral:rRNA from 1 species